rnacentral:miRNA from 1 species
CUAAUGGUUUAUGUGUGAAGGGUU